ensembl:lncRNA
UGAGAAUCUCCUACCAAAACAAAGAUAGGAACUAGUGGCCGAGGAACUAGAGUUUCAUUGAAGGGAGUUUCCAAGGCUUCAGUUUAAACUAGUUGAAUGCCAAAAUCAGGCUGCUUUAAGUUUUUAAUAUGAAACUCCACUAACAGACUGCUUUUAACUAUACAGAAAGAUUAGCUUCUAUCAGAAGCUGUCACUGUCAACAACAGCAGGGUUGAAACGUUCGACUCAAGGUCUUCUUGGUAGUCAAAGGUAAAACACGGGAUGGAGUGCCAACCUGGAGUCAGGAAGACUCAUCUUUCUGAGUUCAAAUUUGGACUCACUAGUUGUGUGACCCUGGGCAAGUUAGUUAACCCUGUUUGCCUCAGUUUCCUUAUCUGUCAAAUAAACUGGAGAAGGAAAUGAGAAACUACUCCAGUAUCUUUUCGAAGAGAAUCCUAAAUAUCAUCUUGAAGAGUUGGAUACCACUGAAAAUGAUUGAAUACCACAGGCAUUUAUAUAACCUAAUGAAAAAGAACCUUGUUAUACUAGAGAAGUCAACCUUGCUGCUUUAGCCUCCUCUUUAUUCUCUGGCAACUUCACGCUGUGGCCAACACUUUUAAAACUGCUAAAUUUGUAAAUAACAUUAUUUUUAAGUAUUUUCUUUGGUAUGCAUUAUAUCCAUAAAAAUCUACACGACCAUUCAAAUCUAUACUAUAUUUACUCACUUGAAUGCUAGCAGUGAGAUUGCUUAAGUCUACUAUAUUUAAAGUUCUAAGAAUGCAAAAAUAAAAAUAGUCCUCAUCCUCCAAAAGAAUUUACAUUUAUCAGCACAGAUCAAUAUGUACAUAGCAAAUUAAAUGAGGAACAGAGUCAAGAUGAUAGAAUGGAAAAUAUAACCUAGCUCAAUAAAUCUCCUUCAUAAAGAUCUAGAAAAUGCUCCACAUAAUUCUGAAGUGGAAUCCCAAGAAAAAGUCAACGAGGGUCAUUUUUUCCAGCCCAAAGAGGGAUUAUUGAAGCUGAUGGGGCCCAGAAGAAUUGAGAGAUCUCUGGAGCCUCAAGCAUGGUGGCAGAAGGGAAACAGGUAUCCCAAUGUGUCCCUUGCUUGAUUUCCAACACCUGCAUCCCCAGAGACUGUUAAGAGAGGAGUCCUCAGGUGAAAUAACUCUCUCCCAAGUUGAACAGUAUUUCAUUGUUUCCAGAGGCAGAGGUCUCAUAUAUUCCACUGACUAAACUAAUCUAUAUGGUUUCCUCAUUCCUGUCCUGCUCACUAAGAAAAGUGUUUGUUCUUAUUUGUGAUGGUAUAAGUGUAUGGGCUGGAGAAAAACCAACUUGGCUAGAUUAAAGUUGUUAGGCAAAAUUAUUCUCUAGUCAAGUGAUGACUGGGGGGAAGUGGCUUCCUAUCCUUUCAAAUAUCUAAUUGUAAUAGACAGCUAUAAUUAUAAGUCCUAGCUUGAAGACAGGAGAAUGAGGGAGUGAUCACCUUCAUUCAGUUUUCUAUACCCUAUAAAGGUAGAAUUCUAGUAUCUAUAAAAAGCAGGGCAUUUACAGAUCUGUUGAAAAAUCUCUGUUAAUCCAUGGGAUUCUGUUAUAUUAGAAAGGUUUAAUUUUCAAGUCUGCAAGCUUUUAUUAAUCAUCUACUAUGUGCUAUGUACCAUGAUAAACUCUUUGGGGUACACAGAAAGGCAAAAGACAAUUCCUGAAUUCAAGGAGCUCACAUUCUAAUAGAAAAAAAUGUCCUUUACAUUCUUCUCAAUAAACUCUCUUUAGCUUUGGUGACACUAUUCUAGUUCUCUGCUAGAUAGACUGCUUCUUAUAUUAUUAGUCUCAUGCCCAUCAAUGGUAGGUGUCUCCUAGGGCUUUGCCUUGGGGCUUUUCUCUUCUUUCUCCAUACAAUAUUUACCUGGUCAUCACAUCAGUUCCUAUGGAUUUAAUUCUCAUCACUAUGCUAAGGCGUCUCAAAUUUACUAAUCCUGACCUAACUCCCCUCUUAUCUCCAUUCUCAAAAUUACAUGAGCCUAGUUAUUAUAUAUUUUGAACUGGAUGUCACAGACAUAUUAAAUACAAUAUGUCCAAAAUUUCCCACCUGGUUGCUCACCUGGAUGUCACUAUUGUCUUCUCAAAACUAUAUCUUCCCACAAAAUCAAAUUAACUCUGAAACUUAGACUUUCUCAGUAACAUUUGCCUUUUGGGCUCCUCCCUUCCUCUGACUGGAGAUAGGGAGAAUGGACAAUGGGAGAAACCACAAGUGUUGGGUAUCCUCUCUCUUUUCCCACCAUUUUCAGCUUUUUAUGUGUUGUCUUCUCCCUUAGAUUGUGAGUUCCCUUGGUAGUAGGGAUUAUCUUUUUCCCUUCUUUGAAUCCUCAGCAUUUCAUAUAGUAGAGCUAUAGCAAAUAGUACACUUUUAAUAAAUAUUUAUUGACUGACAACUUAUCUUUCCCCCCAAAUCCUUUCAUCUUCCUAACUUCCUAAUUAUUGGUCAGGAAAACAUCAUUCUCCCAGUCACCCAACAUGUGUCAUCCUAGAUUCUUCAUUCUCCCUCAUUCUAUAUCCAUCUAUUGCCAACUCUUAUUUCUACCUUCAUUAUACUUAUAUAUGACCCUAUAUUUUCUCAUCUGAUAUUGCCACCAUCCUGGUGAAAUCCCUUAUUCCUGCACUAUUGAAAUCACUUGUUAGCUGGUCUUCCUGCCUCAAGUCUCUCCUUUAUUCCAAUCCAACCUCCCUUCAGUUAUCAAAUUCAUAUUCCCAGAAUACAAAUCUGACCAAAUUACCCUCCUUUUCAGUAAACUAUAGAGGCUCUCAAUCCCAUAUAAGGUUAUAUAUAAAAUCUUAUUUGGCAUUCAAAGCUCUUCCUAACCAGGCUCCUCUUCCUCCCCUCUAUUAAAGGGGAAUUAAGGAAGUCUUUGACAGAAGGUAGUAUUUUAACAGGAACUUCAAGGAAACCAGGGAAGCCAGAAUGAGGAGAUGAAGCAGGAAAGCAUAGGAGACAGGACAUAAAUGCCCAGAAUUGAAAAGCAGGAGAAUGUCUUGUUUGGGAAACAGCAAAGAAGCUAGUCCAUAAAUUGUGAAGUAUGUUGGUAGGAGGAGGAGGAAGUAAAAUAUAAAACUGGAAAUUCAGGAAGGGGACAGUUCAUGAAGGGCUUUAAAGUCCAGAUUUUUAUAAAUUAUUCUGAGGAUCAUAGGGAAUCACUGGAAUUUAUCAAAAUGAAAGGAAGAGGGAGACAUGAUCAGGCUUGUAUUUAAAUAAGAUCUAUUUGAUAGCUCAGUGGAAAAGAAACUGGAGUGGGAAGAAACAUGGACUUUUUUUUUAAAGACUUUAGAAAAAAUAUAGUCGCUUUCAGAAGCUUUUUUUGAGUUAUUUUUCGGAGCUGUUUUGGGGGAAUGUGAGAAGACCUGUCAUAUCCCAUCCAAAUAUUUAUUAAAACCAAAGACUUACGGCUGUUCUUUACAGAGGAGUUAAGACUAAGCUUGGCUUGGCUGUGUUUACCUAAAGUAAAUAUUGAC